AGCGAACGCUGGCGGCAGGCCUAACACAUGCAAGUCGAACGAACCUUUCGGGGUUAGUGGCGGACGGGUGAGUAACACGUGGGAACGUGCCUUUAGGUUCGGAAUAACUCAGGGAAACUUGUGCUAAUACCGAAUGUGCCCUUCGGGGGAAAGAUUAAUCGCCUUUAGAGCGGCCCGCGUCUGAUUAGCUAGUUGGUUGAGGUAAUGGCUCACCAAUGCGACGAUCAGUAGCUGGUCUGAAAGGAUGAUCAGCCACAUUGGGACUGAGACACGGCCCAAACUCCUACGGGAGGCAGCAGUGGGGAAUCUUGCGCAAUGGGCGAAAGCCUGACGCAGCCAUGCCGCGUGAAUGAUGAAGGUCUUAGGAUUGUAAAAUUCUUUCACCGGGGACGAUAAUGACGGUACCCGGAGAAGAAGCCCCGGCUAACUUCGUG
rnacentral:rRNA from 1 species